rnacentral:rRNA from 1 species
AUUGAACGCUGGCGGCAUGCCUUACACAUGCAAGUCGAACGGCAGCACGGGUGCUUGCACCUGGUGGCGAGUGGCGAACGGGUGAGUAAUACAUCGGCACAUGUCCUGUAGUGGGGGAUAGCCCGGCGAAAGCCGGAUUAAUACCGCAUACGAUCCACGGAUGAAAGCGGGGGACCUUCGGGCCUCGCGCUAUAGGGUUGGCCGAUGGCUGAUUAGCUAGUUGGUGGGGUAAAGGCCUACCAAGGCGACGAUCAGUAGCUGGUCUGAGAGGACGACCAGCCACACUGGGACUGAGACACGGCCCAGACUCCUACGGGAGGCAGCAGUGGGGAAUUUUGGACAAUGGGCGAAAGCCUGAUCCAGCAAUGCCGCGUGUGUGAAGAAGGCCUUCGGGUUGUAAAGCACUUUUGUCCGGAAAGAAAUCCUUGACUCUAAUACAGUCGGGGGAUGACGGUACCGGAAGAAUAAGCACCGGCUAACUACGUG